rnacentral:lncRNA from 1 species
GAAAGAAACCCUAGUUCUCUUCCCUUUUGUCGAAACCAUCUACUGCUGCAGUAAGAAGAUUGCUGAAGUAUCGCCAUUGCUAUCUCACGUCGUCGUUGCCACCACAAUAUUCUUACCGUUGCAAGAUUUUUGCCGUAACAAGUCUCUACCACUUUGUCGAUUUCUUUUUUCCCCUUCUAUAGAAACUUUGCCAAUUUCCAAGAAAAGAUACCAUGUCUCAUAAAAUAACCAGAUCUUCAAAGACUACUCCUAAAAACUCGAUUUUGAUCGAUGAAGAAGUGAAAGAGAGAUUUGAUUCAAUCUUCAAGCGUUAACCUAUGAUGCUGGAACAAAGGUUUUGACUUGAAGAGUAAUGAUUUGAUGGUUGUUCCUAUACCGAUUAGUAAGAAAAUCAAUGCUCUUAAGUGGGAACAAUUUUGUGAUGCUCGUUCACUUCCCGAUGAUGAACUAGUUCGAGAAUUCUAUGCUAGUUUGACUAUGCAAGAUGCUACUGAGGUCAUCGUUUGAAAGAAAAAGGUACCUCAUACUUCUAAGUCCAUUAAUGAUUUAUUUAACUUACCUGAUGUAGAAAAAGAUCAGUACUACCCUAUGAUGAACAAUAUCAAUUGGCAUUUUCUUCAACAAGUGUUUGAUGUUGUGAUAAAUCCAGGAUCCUAAUGGAUUAUAAGAAAGUAUGGGAGCCAUUCUAGUCAAAGGGAAUACCUAAAACCAGUAGCAAAGGUAUGGUUUUAUUUCAUUCGCUAUAGUUUUAUGCCUAUCUCACAUAGUUCCACCAUCUCGAUGGAAUGGAUGCUCCUGUUAUGUGCAAUUUUGACAGAAAAGUUCAUUAAUGUUGGGAAAAUUAUUGUUAAGAAGAUUCAUGAUUGUGCUAAAAAGAAGACAGAAAGUGCUUAUUUCCCAUCAUUAAUCACUUCACUUUGCUUAAGGGCCCUUGGUAAAACACAAGCAAAUAUAAAGGGGCAAUAUGUUCAAAGGUGCAUUACAAAUCAUGAUCUUGAAAGGUUAGUAGAGAAGGUGCAUCAGUUGAAUCAAGGCGAGCAAGAAGAGCCAACUAAGCCAGAUACUGAGGAGUCAAUAAAGGAAACUGAAACUGAAGCUAAUUCAGUUACAGACACUGAAGAAGAAGAAUCUGACAAGGAACCGAACAGUCCUAAACCAAUUGAAGGAUCUGCAACCCCUAAACCAAGGGUUGAGCCAGAAGAAGAACCAGUCAAUCUAAGUGUUGAACUUGAAUCUAUGACUCCUAUGCCGACUUCUGCAAGUGCUUCAAAGAAAUUGGAGUUGGCAAUUGUGAUGGAUAUGUGAAAAUUCAUGCACAAUCAACAACAAACUUACUGGAAAUAUGCAAAAAUUAGAGAUGACUCAAUUUGAAAUACUUUUAAGAAUAUCUCUAAUACUUUUUCUCCUGAGUUCCUAGAUGCUAUCUUUGAGUCAUGGACGAAAGGUACUGACGUGCAAGCGGAGAUGGAGCUGAAAAAGACAAAGGGAAUGGAUCAGAAAAAUAAAAGGGAGGAUUCUUCUCUUGUUAUUUAUUUAAUUAUUUCAGGUCUUUAGGAAUUUAUUUCUUUCAUAAUUAGGUUUUAAUUUCUGCAGAAUAAAACAUAGCAAGCAUGAAUAAACUUAACACUUCUUUAGAAAGAAAAAGACUAAGUGAUGUGGUAAUGGGAAUGAACAUGUCUAGGAUUGGGUUAUUAGGAAAGACUUGGUAUUUAAGCAGUCUUAAUGACUAACCUCUCUUUUUGUACAACCCUACCUGGUGUUCAAUUUUCAUUCAUUACUUUGUUCUUGGAAUGAGGACAUUGCUUCUUUUUGAAAGAGGGAAGGCAAAUAAAUUGCUCAAAUUUUAGAAAUUUUUCAAGUAUGUUUCAAUCAUUUAUUUUAUAAGUAUGUUUUAAUAAAUGAAUGUUUAGAGACAUUUUUUGUUAAUGAGAUAGUUUGUAUGCAAGUAUGAAUGAUGAAUUUAUCUGAGUGAAAGUAUGUUAUCAUGAAAGAUUGGAAUGCUUGUAUGAUCUUAGCCUUAGUAAUGUUUGCCAUGAAAAGUUAGUUUCUCUUGGGAUUGGACAUGCAUGAAGGUUUAUAUCUUUAGAAUUGACGUAGUAAUUUUCUUGAGGAGAAAUCCUAGGGGACAUAAAAAUCUAAAAUGAUAUAGACACUAUUUCUUUGGAUUGUUUGAGCCUUUUCAAGCGAACCCUAUGAUAUUAAACCCUUGAAGCUAUAAUUUUGAGCUUGAAGGCUUGCAUAUUGCAAUGAACCUACAUUAUAAGCCAUAUUACCAUCUUUUAAUGUUAACCUAAUUUUGUGCACCCAUCUUAACUAAAGUUGUCUUGGUAAUCAACAUUUGAGGAAAUUUUCAAAAAGAUGUAUGUGCUCAUGCUUAAAAAAAAAAGACAAAGGAAAAGCGAAGAAAAGUUUACUCAGUCUCCAAAAAGGAAAAAUGUAUGAGCUUUAGUUCAAAAUAAGUUUGGGGGUGUUCCAAAGGUUCACUUAAAGAAAAAGGUUGUAUAUCAAGAAAUCCAAAACAAAGUUAAAGGUUAAGAUUUUGAAACCGAAAUAUCUCAUCUCUUAAAAUCCCUACCUUUAACCUAGCCCCAUUACAACCAUAUAAAAGACCUAUUGAUUUGAUGAUUAUGUCACCUACAUUAGUGGAGAGGAAGUACUAAGUUCAACAUAUGAAGAUCAUAAAUAAGCCUUAUGAUUGUUUGCUUGAUUGAUAAGAAAUUAUGUUGAAUGAAGAAUGUUAUCUAUGGUUGUGACAUACAUACAAACUAUGAUUCAUGUUGGCAUAUUUUGGAACUUAGUAUGAAAUUCUAUAAAUGUUUGCAUAUGAAUUACUUGUUAAUAAAGAAGAUCUAUGAACAUGAAAUCAUUAAUGCAUGAUUAUGGGACAAAUAUUGAUGCUGUUUACACAGUUAGCAAUUUUGCCUUAGCAAGACCUUUUGUUGUGCAUAAGCAUUACUAGGGAUGAGCAAUGACUUAAGUUUGGAGGUGUGUAAACUGAAAAAUAUAUAGGAUUUUUCCUAUGUAAUUUAUCACCUUUUUACUUAAAUUCGUCAUUAAAACUAAGUAAUUGUUUAAUAAAUUAAUGAAAUAAGUGAAAGUAUGAAAUUCAGACAUAGAAAUUAUUAAAAUGUGAAUUUAUGCUUUAUUACAUAGUUUUCAUGCAUAAAAAGGCUUAUUUUAUAUUUAUUUGAACAUAUUAUAUUUUUAAGACAUAAAAUGGGCCAUGCAUGAUUAAAUUAAAUAAUAAAAUAUAAAAUUAUAUUUAAUAAAUUAUUUUAAAUAUUUCAUUAAUAAUUUGGGUUGAAAUUACUUAUUUAAAUUGGAUAAAUUUUAUUCUUUAGUCCUUUAACUUAUUGAUUUAUUUUGGACAGGUCUGAUAGCUUUGUUGGAUUACAAAAACUGUCCAAAUUGAAGACCAAGUCAACCCAAAUUCGGCUGCACAUGGUUGUCCGCUUAAACCACUUUUUGGUUUAAUUACACAAGGUCCUUGUAUUGUUGAAAAAAUUAGAGAUUUGCCCGAAGAUUUACAUUUGAUCGAGUCUUAGUCUUGAGUUAUUAUGACAUAUAAAUUGCUUAAAAAUCAAUGAACAAUCAGCUCAAAUUCCACUAAUUGUGGUCGGCCACUCAUGGAAGAACCUUGAAGAGACUAAACCUAGCUAUUUUUAGCAAACUACCCACCUCUCUUCACCUAUAAAUAAGAUCCCUUCAUUCCCUCAUUCAUCAUCCCUUAUCCAUCAUCAUUCUCUCUUCUCUCUCAAUUCUCUUAGCAUUUUCCAUUUCCCACACCUAGCAUCAUCUCUUCAUAGAUAUUUUAGCAAGUAAAUCCUCUUAAAUAGCCCUUGGUCAGCCACCUUGGAAAACCAUCAGCAAAUGAGCAAAGUGAAGAAGUGAAAGAGCCUCAUCAGUCAGAGUCUUGGGUGACAACCACUUUGAUUUGGGUUUAAUCUUACUUUUCUUUAAUUUAAUCUGAAAAUGUUUGCUAUGUGUUCUUUGUUCUUGUUUACAACAAUAUUAGCUUAAUUUUUAUUUAAGCUAGGAUGAUUGCUUUGAUUAAAUAAUAUUUAUUUGAUUCAUGCUUAUAAUGUUUGUGCCUCAAUCAAUCAUGUUUUCAAUUAAAAUCAAGUCUGUAUUUCAUUCAUACGUGAUUGAAAUGCACCUAAAUUAGCUGAGCAAUCCUAACUAGAUGACGGCUAGUGGCUGCAUAGUUGAAAUGUGCAUGCUCAAUUUAGAUCCUAACUAGAUUAAAUUCCAGGUUCCAUAACAAAUCUAGCCAAGCUUUGUUAUCUACAAAGUUUUUAGAUUUGUGUGGUUAAACUGUUCAAACCUAACACGUCCCUGUUACCUAACACAUAAUAACUUCAGAGGAAACACACUCUUUGGUAUACUUGUUGAGCCGAACAAACUCCCUUUUAUAUUCAGUGACUGACAUGCGGCCCUGUUUCAACUCAAGAAUCGAUGAAUCGCUCACUGAUAUACUUCUUUCGAAACUCCUCUUGAAAGAAUUCUCAUGUAACCUUCUUUUCCAAAAUCACAGAUACUAGUGUUUUCCACCUGUGAUAUGUCAUGUCCCUCAGUAAAGAUAUAGCACAUUUUAAGCAUUCAUCGGGUGUACAAUAUAGUUCAUCGAACACUCUAAUAGAAUUCUCAAGCCAAAAUUCUGCUUUUUCAGGUUAUCAUCGGCAUUUGCUCUAAAUUGUUCAAACCCUUCCUUUUGGAUCUUAUCAACCGAGGUUCUAUUCAAUCUUAUAAAGUCCAUACCUUAAGUCAUUAUGGGGACAAGUUGAGGAUUAGAAGGGGGUGGAGCAUGUUGUUGUUGAGCGGCUGGGUUUGUCCGAACGAACCCUAAGAACCACUUGUUCAUCAUCUGGAAGAAGGCUUUCUGGGCCUUUCCUAACUGACUCAUAGGUACGGGUCUACUCUCAACUGUCAGCGUCCCUUGGGUAGAAGCGGGCGCAUUACUUUCUAUAUCAUUUGCCACAGCUCGAUUAGGAUCCAUUACUAUAUGAAAACACAGUUUAAAAUUGUUAGGAGUCGUCAUAAUAUCACAAUUUAUAUAUGGCAUGUAUAGCUAGACUCAUACACAUGCUAUGUUAGUCUGAGAACCGAGUAAUCCAUAGCUCUGAUAUCACUAAAUGUAACAACCCUUACCCGUAUCCAACGCCAGAAUAGAGUACGAGGUAUUACCGAACUUAAACAAGAGCUAACAUACAAACCGAGGCAUCAAUUUCUAUCCAAAUUUAAAACUAUUAAUUUAUAAUCACAUCGUCCCUAAAACGACCCUACGAGGCCCAAAACAUGUAUUGGAGGCAGCUUAGGACUAAAUUGAGAACUUUAGAAAAUUCUUCAACACUUAGAAAAUCUUUCAUCAAAAUUGGGUCACACGCCCGUGUGGCUUGGGACACACCCGUGUGGGUAGGCCGUGUGAUCACACACGCCCAUGUCCCUUGCCCGUGUAACUCUCUUUUUAUGACAUCAUCCACCAAAGAAAGUCACACGGCCAAGUCAUACGCCUAUGUGCUAGGCCGUGUGGCGAAUUUAAUUUUUGAAAUUUUUCAUAAAUUAGGUACAGACUUCACACGCCCAUAUCUAUAGGCCAUGUCUGUCACACAGCUGAGACACACGGUCGUGUCUCUACCCAUGUGGCUAACAAUAAGGCUAUCGACCUAGCCAUUUCACCACCUUAUCUACACCAACCUACACAACACUAAGCAACACUAUUCAAGCAUAUACAAACAACCAAAUCAACCACAAACUAGAUAUCAAUACAUCAUUUACACAUACUAACAUCUAUCAUCAAUAAACAUCACAUAAUUUCAUUUCCAUUCAUGCCCAUUUCAUCUCCAUGAUAAGCAUCAUCACAUAACAUACCAAUGACCAAUAAAAUUUAUAUUAGCCAACUUCCAAAGGCCAUAUACGAAAUGAAUCAUUAACAAUUACACUACCAACACAUUUGGCUAAACCAAUAUGACACGUAACAAAAUGACCAAGUCACUAUACAUGCCAUACUCAAAAUAUUGAAACCAAGUAUACCCAAAACAGUUGUUUGAUAGUGUGAAUCGAGCUCCGACGUUCCUCAGUCCCCAAGCUAGCUUGGUGACACUAUAAGGAAUGGAAAGAAAAAGGGGAGUAAGCUUUUAAGCUUAGUAAGUUUGCAUGAAAAUAAUAAGCAACAUAAAUCAUACAUUAACCAUAUAACUACUCAACAUAAGUUAACAUAAUUAUCAUCAUGUAUCUUAGGUGUAAUGCCCCAAAUAUUGGGCCUAGAAUUAUUAGGUUUUUAGCAUGGGAACAGUUAAGAGGCUUCACAUAAAUAUUUAUUUAUGCAAGCAAGUGACACACAAAUGCAUGUCUACUUUAGUGGUUAAGUGUUCUGGGAAGUGUCUGAGAAGUCUUGGGUUCAAGCCUGAGCAAGUGCAAAAAGUUUUAUUUUUUAAAGGAAUAAGCACUGUCUCUAGACAGUAGGCUUUUAAAUAAAAAUGGUUGAAGCAUGUCACAAAAAGGCCUACUAAUCUAGGGGAUAGGGGCGUGUGGAGUGUUCCAAGAGUUCUGAGGCUCAAGUCGUGCUUGAUGCAAGGGAGUGUUUUAUUUUGCUAAAAAUGCUGUAGAGAAGUUGUUGUUUGAUUGGAACACUAAGUUGUUUGAGUGGAAUUGGAACUGAGUAGUUGAGGGAGGAGUGAUCAGUUGAGGGAUUUGAGGAGGGAUUUAAGGAUAGAUUUAGGGAGGAAAAAGUUGGAUUUGAAAUAUGGGAGAGUUGUGCCGAAAUAGGGACUCUGACCACUCAGAUUUUGGCUAGGGAGUAGUAGAAUUUUUUCUCUUCUCAUUAUUGAUUAUAACUUGAACAUUUUUGCUCUUUUUCCUUCCUUUGGUGCCGAAUUUUGCUUCUUUUGAUUUUGAUUGAGUCCAAAUAUUGUCAUUUUCAGCUCGGGUAUUUGUCAUUUCAGGUUUAUUUCGAUUUUGCUCUCCACAAUAGUGCCCUUACUGAUCGAUUGUCUCCUCUCCCUCUCUUUCUUUUUCUUUCAGGUUUUUGUCCUUGAUUCCAUUGGCUGAUUGCUUCCCUCUUCUUCCCUUCUCAAUAAGAGUUUGCCUUGGUCGACUCUCUACACCCCACUCCUUCACUCAAGCAUUAGCCAAAUCCACUUUCUUUCCCUCCUUCGAUUCUUUCUGGUGUUAACAGAUUUUGUAACACCCCUUACCCGUAUCUGAGGCCGGGCUAAGGUACGAGGCGUUAACAGAAAAAAAUACAAACAUUAAACUAAAAUACGAGCCAUAAAAUUUUAUUCAUAUUUCAAAGCGUUCAUUCUCUUACACAUAGUCCCUUAUUUGAGUCUACAGAGCCCAAAACAUACUUUAGAAAGGGUUUGGGACUAAACCGAGAACUUACGAAAAUCUUGGAAAUUUCAUGCUUUAAGGCUCCAGACGCCCAUGUCCCAAAGUCAUGUUCUAUACAUGGCUGAGACACAUGGUCGUGUCUCUGCCUGUGUGGAAUAUACCUAGGCUAUUUUCCAAGCUUUGGUCAACCUUAAUCUCUUAGACACUUAUAAAAAAUCAAAAGCAUAUAACAUGGUAUUCAUUUAAUGAUUAAAUAUUCUCAAUUAAACCACAAACAUAGCAUUUGUAUGUCAUCAUACAUGUGUCUCUCAUACUCAUUUUACCUUGUUUAUUAUAGUACCACUUAUACAUUUAUACCAAGAUUAUCAUCUUACAAAAUAUCUUCAGCUUAAUCAUCAAGCAUUCAUAUUUAAAACUAGAUCAUAUCUUUAUAAAAUACCACAAUUCAGAUAUGCAAAAUAACAUGUUUGCCUGAAACAUUUCAAUUCAACUCCAUACCCAACAAGCAUUACAUAUAUAUAUAUACAUGUCAUGAUACAUAUCAUUCUUUUUCUGUUUUCUUGUAAACACAUAUCAUUUAUUUCAUUAUAUUAAUAUUUCAUAUACCAUAGUUUCCAUGUAUUCCACAUAUAUUUAUUUUCCUCCUCCUCCUCUCCAUUCCACAUCCUUAAUGUAUAUAGCAUUCUUGUAAGUACGAUUUCACAAUUUACUAAUAAAUGUUCAAAUCAAACUAUCCACACGAGUCAUAGUCACUUAAUUAUUUAUAAUUUGAGCUACAGAGCUCCAAAUUAAGAUCCGUAAAUUUCCCCUGAAACUAGACUCACAUAUAUUUCCACCAUAAAAUUUUCAUAAUUUUUUCUUUAUCCAAUUAGUACAGUUUAUUCAUCAAAAUUCCCCCUGUUUCACUUUCUGACAGUUCUGACCUCUCUUCACUAAAAAAUAAUUAUCUCACAGUACAAAACUCGGAUAGUGUUCUUGUUAAUUUAUCUUGAAUAUAGACUCAUUAUGGAUUUUAAAAAUAUAAUUUUUAGCCUCUAAUUAUGUUUUUCCAAAUUUUUGUGAUUUUCCAAAUUUAGAACAGAGGAUCACGUAAUCAUUCCGAAUCGGUCUCACAAAAACAUAAAUAUCUCAAAAUAUGGAACUCCUUUGCUUUGUAUGUUUCUUUUAUAUGAAAAUAGACUCAUUAAGCUUUAAUAUGAUAUCUCAUUCAGUCUCUGAUUCAAUUUAUACUAUUUUUUUUAUUUUUCAAAAUCACGUCACUGCUACUGUCCAAAACAGUUUUAUUGCUAAUUCACUCUUUCACACUUUCUUUGUCUUAACCUCAUUUUAACAUACAUAUCACAAAUCAUUUUCAACACAUUUCAUACAUCACAAGUAUAGGCCCAUGAUCACAAGGUCACCAUAAAAUCAUCCUCAUGUAUAACAUACUUGUUUAUAACCUUACCACAUCCUGGUCACUUAAUGAACACAUCAUUCACAUAACCAAGUUCCUGCACUUAUUCAUCACAAAACUCACAAAGCAAUGCAUAGAGAGUCUCCCGUUGAACACUUCGGAUCAAUCCUCAAUACUUGGUGGUUUCAGCAUAUAGCUCCACCCAUCAUAUAGUUCAGCUCUCUUGUACACAUGGUGAACACUUAGUACCACCCAUGUGACCUAGCCAGUUUAUCUCGUAGCUCUCUUGUCUACAUAGUGAACACAUAGUAUCACCCAUGCGACCUAGCUACAUCAUAAUGUCUUGUAGCUCUCUUGUACACAUGAUGUGCACUCAGCACUAUACAUGUGACCUAGCUACAUACCAUCUGUAUCAUCCAAUCUUUCCGAAGGUUCAACCGGGAUUUCUCUCUCUUUUCCAACAAUUUCACCAAUAAAGUAAUUAUCCACAAACAUAUUUCCAAUAUUUUUAUAAAAUAUCAUAAUACAAGUAAUAGUGAUGUAUUACUUACAUAUAAACUUACAUCUCAUUUAAUAUCAAUGCAAUAACAUUAAAUUACACAUUGUCUUAUUAAAAAUCAUAUGAACUUACAAUUUCCCAGAAUAUCCAUAAUCAUAGAAAUCACAUUUAUGUAUGAUAAUUCAAUGCACUUCAUGUACCAUGGACAUAUUUUUAAAUCAAUUCAUAAACUUGGCACCAUAAUCAUUUAAUUUAACAUAAUUCAAUUAAUUCACUAAAUUUAACUUUUAAAUAUAAAUUAAAAUAUUAUUGUUGUAUUAUUAUCAUACCAACUUACAUACUUUCAACACCUUGGAGAUCAUAGUAAAUAUAUCAAUUUUACAUUGAAACAUGCAUAAAUUAAUGCUUAUUAUACAUAUGAACUUACCUUGAUAUUAAAACGGCCAUUUUACCAACUUUCCCAAUUUUCGAUUUUUCUCUCAUUCUAGGUUCAAAUGUCGUUUUCCGAGAUCUAAAACAUCAUAUUUUACUUAUUUAAUUAAUAUGCUAUUCAAAACAGUCCUUAACUCAAACUUUGGAAAAGUUACAAUUUUGCCCCUAAACUUUUGCAUAUUUACACUUUUGCCCCUAGGCUCGGGAAUUAAACUUCAUCCCUUAUUCUUAUGUUUUAUGACAUGAUGAUCAAUUUUCCCUUCUAUGGCAACAUCAAAUUCUCACUCUAACAUAUACUUAUGACUAUUAGGUAUUUUUACCAAUUAAGCCCUUUUACUCGUUUUCACUUAAAACCGAGUAGCACAAGUUGCCUAACAUAAUCUAAAACCUCAUAUUGUAUCAUAAAACACCAGAAUACACAAAUUUUACCUAUGGGUAUUUUUCCAAAUAUGAACCCUAGGUUGAAUUAUUGCUAGCAUAAGCUAAAUCAAGUUACCGGGACUCCAAAAACGUAAAGAACUUGAAAAAUGGGGUUAGAACGGACUUACAACUGAGCUUGGGAGGCUUGAAAACCCUAGCCAUGGAGUCUCCCUUGGUAUACACGUCCAUGGUGAAGAAGAUGAGCAAAAUUGGCUUUUAAUUUUGUAUUUUAAUUCAUUUUACCCCUAAAAGACCAAAAUACCCUUACUACUAAACUUUUCAAAAAUUCCAUCCAUGUCCAAUUUUUGUCCAUAACUUAGAAAUUGGUCAAAUUGCUAUUUAAGACCUCCUAAUUAAUAUUUCAAAUCAAUUUCAUACUAGAAACUUCUAGAAUGCAAGUUUUGCAACUUAUUCAAUUUAGUCCCUAACUUCGAACUAAGCACUUUAUGCAUAGAAUUUCUUCACGAAAUUUUCACACAAUCAUGCAAUCAUAUUAUAGACCUUAAAAUAAUCAUAAAAUAAUUAUUUAUAUCUCAGAUUUUGUGGUCCCAAAACCUCUGUUCCAACUAGACCCAAUUUUGGGCUAUUACAGAUUUCCUCUCUUUUCAUUGUGCUAUUGUGACCGAAUACCCUUUCAUCUCUCUCUCAACUCUAUCCCCUUUUCACCUUGCACAUUGGCCGAAUAUUUAGCCUCCCUCAAUCAGUUCUCUCUUGGCUGAAUUCCUUAUUUGUCUCGAAUAGAGGUGCGAUUGUUACAUCUUGAGCCUCGGUUCAAGUGCGUGCUUUUAUGGGGUAGGCCGAAUACUACUAUCUUCUAUUCUUCGUCUAUGCUCUCGAGAAGUUACUAUUCAUGUGGUUUGAUUAUUUGCGUGUAUGGUUUUAGUUAACUGAUGGCGAUUGGGAUGCAGGUAGUAUUUAAGGAUUUCAAGCGAUCUAUUGCAAUGGUUUUAGUGUGUGAUCGAUCUGGACAAGUGAUAGGUAAUCUUAUGAAUAAGUGUUUUUAUUAGAGUUCGCUUCAAUUUGAUCGUUAGCCUAUUAACCGAAGCUUUUGUUUGAAAUAGGUUGGAGUGCUCGUGGGAUGAUUCACACAUUUUCAAAACAAGGUGUGUAACCACAUUGCUAUAAACGUAGAUCAGCAAAAGCCGGAAAGGUAUGACUAUUGAUGCUACACGAGCGUGCGCUCGCUUGUGUGGUAAUCUGAACGCGUAAAAAUGUAGGCUUUUGAUAGUAGAGGCCACCAUGAGCGAUUUCAUGGGAUAAGGCUAUUUUGAGCCACGUUUAGCCGAAAUGGGUCUGGUGGGCCACACGGGCUCGUGGGCCACACAUGGGUAAACCAUACAGACGUGUGGAGAUCAUUGGGCCAGGCUAUCUAACUUACACGACCAAGGCCAUUUUUGGGCUUUCUGGGCCACACGGGCUUGUAGGCCAACAUGGGCCGCAUUAUGGGCUUUGGUCCCAUUUUCACUAUAUGGCUAUUAAGGUUGCACGGGUUGCUUGAGACGACUGUGAACCUACUAUUUGGUCAGUAAGGGUUCCUAAACUCCUCUUUGUGGCAAAAUGACUGUAUUGCCCCUGUGUGGUAAAAUGACUAUUUUGCCCUUAUGUGGUAAAAUGACUAUUUUGCCCUUAUGCGAUAAAAUGACUAUUUUGCCCUUAUGUGGUAGAAUGACUGUUUUGCCCUUAUAUGGUAGAAAGACAGUUUCGCCCCUAUAAGGUAGAAUAACUGUUUUGCCCUUACAUGGUAAAGUGACUAUUUUUCCUUUACGUGGUAAAAUGACUGUUUUGCCCCUAUGUGAUGUAUGUUUAUAUUUUAGCAUGUUACUUGCAACUGUAUUGAGUACAUGUAUAAUAUUAUGAUAUGACAUGACACGUUGCAUGAUGCAUUGCAUAGGGAUGGGGUUUAUAUAUGAUUGGAGGAAGUGUACUGUACUGGCAGCUCUGCUGUAAAUCACUGAUGGGUCUAAGCCUAUUAUACUGGCAACUCUGCUACAAAUAUUAUUUAGUGCUGCAACCGGUGCUAAUUCUAGAGUGUAGGGAUGGGUGGGUUGAUUAUAUCCCCACAUGGAGUGUAGGGUUGGACGGAGAUAAUGUUUAGAGGCUGGAUAGGUAAGACUUGCAUACUGUUUUCGGUUACUGUGUAACACCCCUUACCCGUACCCGAGGCCGGGAUAAGGUACGAGGCAUUAUCGGACAAACAUACAAACAUUAAACUAAAAUACGGGCCAUAAAAUUUCAUUCAUAUUUCAAAACGUUCAUUCACUUACACAUAGUCCCUUAUUUGAGUCUACGAAGCCCAAAACAUACUUUAGAAAGGGUUCGGGACUAAACCGAGAACUUACGAAAAUCUUGGAAAUUUCAUGCUUUAAGGCUCCACACACCCGUGUCCCAAAGUCGUGCUCCAUACACGGCUGAGACACAUGGUCGUGUUUCUGCCUGUGUGGAAUAUACCUAGACUAUUUUCCAAGCUUUGGUCAACCUUAAUCUCUUACACACUCAUACAAAAUCAAAAGCAUAUAACAUGGUAUUCAUUUAGUGAUUAAAUAUUCUCAAUUAAACCACAAACAUAGCAUUUGUAUGUCAUCAUACAUGUGUCUCUCAUACUCAUUUUACCUUGUUUAUUAUAGUACCACUUAUACAUUUAUACCAAGAUUAUCAUCUUACCAAAUAUCUUCAGCUUAAUCAUCAAGCAUUCAUAUUUAAAAGUAGAUCAUAUCUUUAUAAAAUACCACAAUUCAGAUGCGCAAAAUAACAUGUUUGCCUGAAACAUUUCAAUUCAACUCCAUACCCAACAAGAAUUAUAUUGAGACUAGUCAUAUAUAUAUGUAUACAUGUCAUGAUACAUAUCAUUCUCUUUCUGUUUUCUUAUAAACACAUAUCAUUUAUUUCAUUAUAUCAAUAUUUCAUAUACCAUAGUUUCCAUGCAUUCCACAUAUAUUCAUUUUCCUCCUCCUCCUCUCCAUUCCACAUCCUUAAUGUAUAUAGCAUUCUUGUAAGUACGAUUUCACAAUUUACUAAUAAAUGCUCACAUCAAACUGUCCACACGAGUCAUAGUCACUUACUUAUUUAUAAUUCAAGAUACAGGGCUCCAAAUUAAGGUCCGUAAAUUUCCCCUGAAACUAGACUCACAUAUCUUUCCACCAUAAAAUUUUCAUAAUUUCUGGUUUAGCCAAUUAGUACAGUUUAUUCAUUAAAAUUUCCCCUAUUUCACUUUCUGAUAGUUCUGACCCCUCUUGACUAAAAAUUAAUUAUCUCACAGUAUAGAACUCGGAUAAUGUUCUUGUUGAUUUAUCUUGAAAAUAGACUCAUCAAGGAUUUUAAAAAUAUAAUUUUAAUCCUCUAAUUAUUUUUAUCCAAAUUGUUUUGAUUUUCCAAAGUUAGAACAUGGGAUCACGUAAUCAUUCUGAACUAGUAUCACAAAAACAUAAAUAUCUCAAAAUAUAGAACUUUUUUUCUUGUUCUUUUUCCUUUAUAUGAAAAUAGACGCAUUAAUCUUUAAUUUAAUAACUCAUUCAGUCUUUGAUUCAAUUUCUACUAUUUUUGGUGAUAUUUUAAAACCACAUCACUGCUACUGUCCAAAACAAUUUUAUUGCUAAUUCACUCUUUCACACUUUCUUUGUAUUAACCUUAUUUUAACAUACAUAUCACAAAUAAUUUUCACCACAUUUCAUACAUCACAAGUAUAGGUCCAUGAUCACAAGGUCACAAUGAAAUCAUCCUCAUGUAUAACUUACUUGUUUAUAACCUUACCAUAUCCUAGUCACUUAAUGAACACAUCAUUCACAUAACCAAGUUCCUGCACUUAUUCAUCACAAACUCACAAAGCAAUACAUAGAAAGUCUCCCGUUGAACACUUCGGAUCAAUCCUCGAUUCUUGGUGGUUUCAGCACAUAGCUCCACCCAUCAUAUAGUUCAGCUCUCUUGCACACCUGGUGAACACUCAGUACCACCCAUGUGACCUAGCCAAUUUAUCUCGUAGCUCUCUUGUCUACAUGGUGCCUUCACCUGGAACCAUGCAUGCGACCUAGCUACAUAUAUCCCGUAGCUCUCUUAUCUACAUGGUGUACACAUAGUAUUACCCAUGCGACCUAGCUACAUCAUAAUGUCUUGCAGCUCUCUUGUACACAUGGUGUGCACUCAGCACCAUACAUGUGACCUAGCUACAUACUAUCUGUAUCAUCCAAUCUUUCCGAAGGUUCAGCCAGAAUUUCUCUCUCUUUUCCAACAAUUUCACUAAUCAAGUAAUUAUCCACAAACAUAUUUCCAAUAUUAUUAUAAAAUAUCAUAAUACAAAUAAUAUUGAUGUAUUACUUACAUAUAAACUUACAUCUCAUUUAAUAUCAAGGCAAUAACAUUAAAUUACACAUUGCCUAAUCUGUUUCACUAUUUGACUAAUCUGACCACUCUUCACUACGAAUCAAAUUUCUCAUUGUACGGAAUUGAAAAUGUGUUCUAUUUGAUUUCAUUUGAAACUAGACUCAUUAAGGAGUCUAAGCAUAUAAAUUUUAUCUUAUAAACAUUUUUGUACAAAUUAUAAUGAUUUUCUAAAAACAGAACAAGGGAUUUCGGAGUCAUUCUGACACAGUCCCACACAACUUUAAAUAUCUCUUUAUAAGAAAUUUCUUUGCUUCCACGGUCUCUUUUAUAAGAAACUAGACUAACUAAGCUUUGAUUACAUAUUUUAUUCGGCCUAUAAUUCCACGCCAACAAUUUAUAGUGAUUUUCUAAAAUCACGUUACUGCUGCUGUCCAAAGCAAAUUAUUACAAUUUGCUCUUAAAUUUCCAAGUCCAAACACUUAUGAACUUACCUUUUGAGUUUAAGACAUAUCAUGGCCACAUCAUAUCUUAUUAACUCAACUCAUUAUGUCCUAUUUUGAUUGAAUUUACUCAAUGUUUGAUCACUUAAAACUUACCUCGGAAGUGGUCGACGAUUAGGUAUCCACGACUAUUCGUUUACAUUCUCGUUUUCCCCUAUCCGACUUUGAUCCUCUUUUCUCUUAAGCUAAAGCCGCAGAGCACUUUCGAACACCAUCACUUAGCUUGGAUUGAAGCAUCGGAUACAAAAACUUUAACCUUCAUGUACAAUUAAUUUUGGCAUUCAAUCCCCUUAAAUUUCAGCUUGUAAAACAAUUAAUAGCAGUUUUAGACAUCAUAGUCUUCACCCAUUUAGACAACAUUCUUUAACAUCUAAAUAGCUCAUUUAUAUAUCAUUUGUUCAUUAACAACUUCAGCCAUUAUUAAUAUAAAUUUACAAUCACUUAGAUAACAUUAAUUGUCGUCUAAACAACAAUUUUUUUGUUGCAUUAAAACACUAAACAACAGUCCUUAAAACAACAUAAAUACACCACUAUCUGAACGUCAUUAACAACACAAUAUUCAAACAGCAUCAAUACCACAAUCAGAUAGCAUGAGCAGGGCAGCAAUGAACAAUACCAACAAGGUAAAAUUCGGACAAUGAUUUAACAUUUUCAACAAUUGUCAAACACAAGAGAACAAAAGUUCAAGGAAAGCUCACUAAGGUUCCCAACACCGAUUCUACCUAUUCAAUUUGCUCUUUCCCUUUUCUACUACAACCUUCUCCUACCUUGUUAGCUAAAUAUAAUCAACCCCAAAGUUACAAAAAUGGAUUAUAACAACACAAGCAUUCACUAAAUUCUUUUAACACAAGUGAGAAACUCUUCAUCUACUAGACAUGCAACAUUUGCAACUAGAAAAGAAAAUCUUCUCUUCUCCCACAUAUUCGUUAAGCUCAAAUCAACAAUGCAACCAGAAUUUGUCAACGAAAAGCUAUGGGCAAGGGAGAGUUUAGAAGAGUUACCCUUCUACUUGAAAAUUUUAACUUCUAAGCAAACAAAUUUCAUGGUUUUCCACUACAUGCAGCUGCCCUCUCCUUUCUAGCUUCAUUCCUUUCUUCCUCUUUUCAUUUCGGCCAAGAAGAACCGAUUUCUUCUUUUCUUUCCUUCUCAAGUCACGGCAAUGGAGGGGGGGAACAUGGAUGAGACAACUUUGUUCUCAUCACCCUCCCUUUUCAUUUCUUUAUUACUAACCCUUUAUUAUAUUCUUUCUCCCAUAACACACUAACACAACAUGUUUCCAACAUGUUUCACCCCAUAACAUUUUGUCCACUCUCAUGCUCAUGGCCGGCCACUACUAAUUAGGGGAGAAAUUGACAUGCAAGUCCACCCUUUUUAUUUCAUGCACUAAUAGAUCCUUAUGUUUUGACCUAUCACAUUUCAAAAGUGUCACACAUAAGUCCUAUUGACUAAAUUCACAUGCAAUUUACUAAAUCAAAGCUUAAAACUUUCACACAUUCGUAUUCACAUAUAAUAGUCAUAAAAUAUGACGGCUAAUUAUUUUUAUGACUCGAUUUUGUGGUCCCGAAACCACUUUUCGACUAGGGUCAAAUUAGGGGUGUCACAGAAUUUACACUCUGAGCUUUGUCCAAUACAAUGGAGUUUGGCAUUUUCGGCCAUAUAAUGCCUCAUAAGGCACCAUUUUUUGCUCAACUGAAAACUGUUAUUAUAGGCAAAUUCAACUAACGACAAAUAUUUUUCCCAACUACCUUGGAAUUCUAGAGCACAACAUUGGAACAUAUCUUCUAAAAUAUGAAUCACCCUCUCGGAUUGACCGUCAAUUUGUGGAUGGAAAGCUGUACUAAAACUCAAUUUCAUACCCAAAGCUUUUUGCAAAUUUUUCCAAAACGUGAAGUGAACCUCAGAUCUCUAUCCGAUAUAAUAGAAAUAGGUACUCCAUGAAGUCUAACAAUUUCAGCAAUGUACAGAUCAGCAUGCUUAUUAAGUGAGUAAUCAGUACGUACCGGUAUAAAAUGAGUUGAUUUCGCCAAUCUGUCUACGACAACCCAAACGGCUUCCAUCUUUUUCAGAGUCAAAGGUAAACCUGUCACAAAAUCCAUGGUAAUUCUGUCCCAUUUCCACUCAGGAACCAUCACAGGGUGAAGUAAACCUGAAGGUACUUGGUGUACAACCUUUACUUGUUGACAAAUCAAGCAUUUCAAAACAAACUCCGAGAUAUCUCGUUUCAUGCCUACCACAAAUACAUUUUCUUCAAAUCACAAUACAUUUUUGUACUACCUAGAUGAAUAGACAAACAAACACUAUGUGCCUCAUUAAGAAUCUUCUGAAUCAACUAUAUAUCUUUAUGAACACAUAUCCUACAUCAGAAUCUCAAAUAAUCAUCGGAGUCAAUUUGAAAUUCUGAGUCAUCACCUGAUUCACACUGAAUUCUAUUGGCUUGCAACUCACUGUCACACUUUUGAGUUUCGUAAAUCUACUUAAGAAACAUCGGUCUAGCUCUCAACUCGGCUAGAAUUGAACCAUUAUCGGAUAAAGUCAACUGUGUAUUCAUGGUUCUCAAAGUAAACAAAGAUUUCCUACUCAAAGUACCGGCCACUACAUUCGCCUUUCCUAGAUGAUAAUCGAUCACAAGCUCAUAGUCUUUUUGUAACACCCCUAACCCGUAACCGACAUUGGAUUAGGGUUACGAGGCAUUACCAGACAGAUAGAACAUUUUCGACCUAUUCAGAAUCACAGGUAUUAUUUAACAUCAUUUCAUAAGCAAUCAUCUCUAAAUAUGGUCGACGAGACCUAAAACAUACAUUUAAGAAUGGUUAGAGCUAAACCGAACACAUUCAUAAAAUUCAGAAUAUAGAAAAUUUUUCCAAUUCUGUUGAGGUCACACACCCAUGCGUCCAGGCUAUGUGCCUCACACGGGCAUCAGACAAACCCAUGUAAACCAGCCGUGCCAAAUCUGGGUAACCAUACUGACUUUCACCCAUGGCCAUUAGGCACGCCUGUGUGCUAUGGCCCUGUGAUACUUAGCUAGCUACUGAUUAAGCCCACGGCCAUAUGACAUGCUCGUGUCCCCUGACCGUGUGGCACCAUGUAGGCUUGAUUUAAGCCAAAUUUCCACCCCUUUUAGAGGUCAUCCUUACAAGCCAUAUUAAACAACAUUCAUACAACAAUUUUCAACCAAUUCCAUGCUCAAAACAUGCUUCAUUAUAAUAAAAACAUAUUAGCUCAUAAAACACUACAACCAUACAUCAUUUGGCACCAUCAACCAAAUACUAAACUAUAUACAACUUUUCAUUUUCUAGCCAACUCUCAUGGCAUAAUAUAUACACAUCAAAACUUAAUACAUAGACCUUCUAGCCUAUACAUGCCAUACUUUAAAAUAUGUACACUUUCAAAAGUACCAAAAUGAGUUCAAUAGUAUCCCCGAGCCUUGAGUAGCUACAAUAACUGUAAAAGUGUGACAGCCCUAAAGUGACCCUAGUCGAAAAGCGGUUUUGGGACCGCUAAACCGAGUCACCAAAUUAUUUGAAUAUGAUAUUUAUUGUCUAAAAUAUGUGAAUAUAAAUGUGUGAAAGUUUUAAGCUUCGAUUUAGUAAAUUGCAUGUGAAUUUAGUCAAUAGGACUUAUGUGUGACACUUUUGAAAUGUGAUAGAUCAAAACAUAAGGAUCUAUUAGUGCAUGUAAGAAAAAGGGGGGACUUGCAUGUCAAUUUCCCUCCCCCCAUUUAGUAGUGGCCGGCCAUGACAAAUAGGGUGGACAAGGUGUGAUGGGCAAAACAUGUCAUAGACAUGUUAUGUUGGUGCAUCAUGGGAGGAACAACAAAAUAAAAAGUUAGUAAUAAAGAAAUGGAAAAAGGAAAAUGAUGAAAGAAAAAAAAAGGGAUCAUCAUUCAUGUUCUUGCUAGCCGAAUCUAAAGAAAAAAAAGGGAACAAGAGCAUUCGGUGAUGAAAACAAGUUCUGUCCUUUGAUUCUUCUUGGCCGAAUUAAAAGGAGGAAGAAAUGAGUGAAGUAAUCGGCCAUCUUAGGUCAAUAUUAAGGUAAGGUGUUCAUAUUAGUUCUUGAAAUUUUAGUUGAUCUUGAGUGAGAUAUCAAGUUAUUUUUUUUUGUAACCCAUGAUGAAAUUUUGAUUUUGGAUUGAGUAAGGUUUUUGACUAUGGUAGUUAAUAAUGGUGAGUUUUGUUGUUUCAUGUUAAAGUUAGGUGAAUGAUGAUGGAUGAGUGUUUGAACCAUAAAAAGAAUUCGGCUACCUUGUUAUGAACUAGGGCCGAAUGUGAGUUGGUUGUGGUUGAAUAUUGCAUGCUUGGUAGAAUGGUGGAUGAAAGUGCCGAAUGUGGUCUUUGGUUUGGCAUGAAGUGAUAAAUAAAGGUUUAAAAGAUAGCUUAAGUUAAUUGAUACUCACUAAUGAGUUCGAAUGGAAGCUUUGUUAAGUGGGAAAUGAGUGGCCGAGAGAGAGGAUAAUGGACUAUUGCCGAAUGUAUGUUGGAUUGAUAGAGUCUCCAAAUUGAUUUUAUGUGUGUAUGCAUGACCGAAUAUAAUCAGCCACAUGAGUAAAGAAAUGGGUUAUUUGAUAUGUGGUAAAAGUUAAGUGUUAAACGAAAUGGAAAUGAAAUCAUAUUGGAAUAUGUAUACUCGACCACAUGAAUGAGUACAUAGGUUGAUGUGUAUGUUUGGCCAUAGGUAAACAUAUUGAUGGCUUUAUCUUGACUUAGAAAAUUCGGCUAAGGUGAAUAUUGGCUAAUAUGUUGAGUUGAUUCAUGAUUUCAUAUGUAUGUGACUUUAGUGUCUAAUGUAUAUAUAUGAGCUAAGUACCUUGAGUUCCUCUUUUGAUGCUCAAAUGAUUAAAUCAAUUUAUUUGUUAAAUUAAGCUCAAGAGCAAAGGGGAACUAAAUCCGAUAAAGGGAAGGAAAAAGUGGUCGAAUAGCCAUCGAAAUCGUUCGACAACAUCCAAGGUAAGUUUCCGAGCAAUGAGACUUAGUUUAUGAUUUGAUUAAGUCAUAAUGUAUGUGCAUAGAGAUCGUGUUAUAAAGCAAACUAAACCAUGCUGUUUGUAUGUGGCUAGUGAGCCGAAAUGGGAAUGCUUAAUACGUGACUUGUGUUUGAACUCUAAUUAUGAAAAUGAAAUUAGAUGUGUCAUGAUUUAUUGAUAUGUGCAUGAAUGUUCGGAUGAUAACCGGGCUAAGUCCCGAGAGCAUUUGAGCUAGUGGCUAAUUCCGGGUUAAGUCCCGAAGGCAUUCGUGUGAGCUACUAUAUCCGGGCUAAGUCUCGAAGGCGUUUGUACGAGCUAUUAUAUCCGGGCUAAGUCCCGAAGGCAUUUGUGUGAGUUAUUAUACCAGGCUAAGUCCCGAAGGCAUUUGUGCAAGUUACUAUAACCGGGCUAAGUCCUGAAGGCAUUUGAGCUAGUGGCUAUAUCCGGCUAAACUCCGAAGGUACUUGGUUUGAGAACGAGUGAUCUUGCUGUAAUAAUUUAAAUUGAUACGCUCGUAAAACCCAACGAUGAGGUACGUUUCGUAUAUGCAUUAGGGUGGUGAUUCCGUUUAAAUAAUAUUCGCUCAGUAAAUUAAUGAGCUUCCGGCCUUGGCUAAGUUGAUAUUUUGUGUAUGAAUAUAAGGGUCGGUAAUGUGAAGUAAGUAUGAUAUUGAGAAUUUGUGCAUAUGAGAUUAUCCGUUUAGCCAUAUGAAUGCUAUACUUUGGUUGUGUCUAAUUUCAUGGCUCAAACUUACUAAGCAUUAAAUGCUUACUCCGUUUCUUUGAUUCUCUGUUCUAUAGAUUUUGGGUUCGUCAGCUAUCGGACUCGGGAUUGUUGAAGUCGAAGUCGUCCACACUAUCAAAGCCCAUUUUUGGUACACUUUUGGUUGAACUUUGAAAUGGCAUGUAUAGGACUACCCGUUUUGUUGUUGCUCAUGGACCCUUUGGUUUUGUAUAAAUUUGGAUAGCCAUGCGAAAAUGGCUUAUAUACACUUUGAGCUUAGUAUUAUAAUCGUCUUGUAUGAUGUUCAUUAAGAGGUAUGGAAAUGUUUGGGAACGAUUAGCCGUUGGAAUGGUUAAUCAUGAUCAUAUUUUGUGCUAUAUAUGCUAAAGGGCUAGUUGAAUCAUGGAAACUAUGUAAUAGGUAAAGUCUACCUUAAAAAUAGAUGCUGAUAGCAGCAGUGACGUGAAUGUGAAAAAUCACUAAAAAUAGUACGAAUGGAAUUAAAUAGUGAAUAAAUUAUGUAAUCUAACCUUGAUGAAUCUAUUUUCAUAUGAAAGUAACGAAACGAUCAUAUGAACAGUAUAUUAUGAGAUAUUUAAGUUUUCGCGAAACAGGGCCAGAACGGUUUCUGGAUUCCCUGUUCCGAAUUUGGAAAUUCAUUACAAAUUAACCAGAGAUAAUUAAAAGUCAUUCCAUAUAUGUAUAGUUUCCUUUUUGAGUCUAGUUUCUAUGGAAACAAAUGAAAUCAGUAUUGAAGCCCUGUACAGGGAGAUAUCCAAGUAAUGUGCAAAGGUUAGUGUAGUCGAACCCUGAAACAGGGAAGACUUUAACUAAUAAAAUGUACUAAUUUGCUCGACCACAAAUUCUAGAAAAAUAUUUUUAGAUUGAUAUAUGAGUCUAGUUUCAGGAAAAAUUUACGAAACUGAUUUUCGAGUUUUGAAACUCAAGAUAUGAUUUUUAAGGAGACAGUGAUGCAGUAACCCGUGUGUCUGGAAAUUUUUAAAUGGACUAUGGAAAUAAGUGAAUUAAGGCUGUUAACCCCUCGUGUCUGACCCCGGCGACGGUCUCGGGUAUGGGGUGUUACAAAAAGAGACAAUAAUCACACAAAGUAAGCUACAAAGAGCUUAGUAAGCCAAAUACAAUUGGUCUAACUACUAAAGCAUAUAAGUACAAUUUAACCAUAAAGAUUCAUAACCAUUUCAAAGAAUAAUUCAGAAGCUUAACUGUGCUCCUUUGUUUGCAUAUAUGUCAUGCUUCAUUUCCAAUUCUAUACAUAUUUCACAGAGAUAGAGUUUUUCAUAUUCGAAAAUUUAGAAUGAUACAAACGUACUUGCAUAGGUUAUACAUUUCAUAUACUCAUAUUUCGUACGCUAUCAUUAGACGGUUCAGAAAUGAUACAGAUGCUCAAAAUCAAGUACAAUGCCGACGUCCCUUACGUGGUCUUACAUGUAAUUCAAUAUUGAUGCCUCUGUCCCAGACAGGGUCUUACACAAAAUUAGAUACGAUGCCGAUGUCCCAGACAUGGUCUUAUACGUAAAUCUCAAACGAGGCCUGUGUCCCAGACACGGUCUUACACGAUAUCUCAAACAAAUGUCAACUUUUCUUAGAAGCAUACAGAGCUUUUCAGAUAUUAACAUAUUAUCAUACUUUACUCCGAAGAUAUUCAUCAGGCACUCAAGGCCAUCCAAUACAGAUUACAAUUUAUAUGUGCAGAAUUUAUUUCAAUUAACACGUAAUUGUAAUUUGACUUACCUCAGACGGAUUUCGGAUAAAACGAGUCAACUAUUCAACUAUUUUGGACUUCCCUCGAUCUAAGUCUAAUUUUCUUUGUUCUUGAUCUUAAUUAAGGAUUAAGUUAGCCGAAUAUCAAAACCCUGUUUUUGCUAUUUUUCUUGCUUCAUUUGGCCAAGAGAAUGAUAAAAUGGCCAUUAUUUUAUGUUAUAUUUUAUUUAACACAUAUUAUAAUACUUUUUCCCAUUUUACCCUUAUUAUUAACACAUGAAAAUCCACCUACUAAUGUCCAUCAUUGUCCACCAUUAAUACAAAUGGUAAAUUUGACAUGCAAGGACCCUUAUUUUAAAAGCCAAGCCAAUUAGGUGCUUUAACAUUUAGCACUCAACUUUUACACUUUACGCUAUUUAAUCCUUUUUUAAUAAUUAUGCAUAGAAACAGACAAAUUAAAUUACAGAAAUUUCACAAAUGUAAAUUCACAUAUCACAGACAUAGAAAAUAGUAUUAAAAUAUUUUUUGGACUCUAAUUUGUGGUCCCAAAACCACUAUUCCGACUAGGGUCGAAACCUGACUGUUAAAAUUCUCCCCCCUUAGGGGUUUUGGUCCCAGAAAAUCUUACCAUUAAACAGAUUUGGAUAUUGUUGUCAUUACAUCAUCGGGCUCCCACAUAGCCUCUUCUACACUGUGAUGAUGCCACAUCACUUUAACUAGAGGAAUUUUCUUAUUUCGUAACUUUUUAAUCUCACGGGCUAAAAUACGGAUCAACUUUUCUUUGUAAGUCAUAUCAGACUGAACUUCAAUCUCAGAAGGGGAUAUCACAUGAGACGGAUCAGAUCUAUACUGUCAAAGCAUCGAUACAUGAAAUACAUUAUGAAUCUUUUCUAACUCAGAUGGUAGCCUCAAUCUAUAAGCAACUGGCCCAACUCGCUGGUGAUUUCAUACGGUCCAAUGAACCUCGGACUCAACUUCCAGUUUUUACCAUAUUGAAACAAUUUCUUCCACAAGAUACUUUCAAAAACACUUUAUCACCGGUCUCAAAUUCAAUAUCUUUUCGUUUUAAAUCCGUAUAAGAUUUCUGACGAUCAUAGGUAGCUUUCAAACUAUCUCGGAUUACUUUCACUUUCUAUUCUGUUUCUUUUAUCAAAUCAAUACCGUAAAUCUUAUUCUUACUGAGCUCAGACCAGUAUAAUGGAGUUCUACACUUUCUACCAUAGAAGGCUUCUUACGGUGCCAUUUUGGUGCUCGAUUGAAAGCUAUUAUUAUAAGCGAAUUCAAUCAAAGGUAGAUAUUGUUCCCAUACACCUUCAAACUCGAGAAUGCAACAUGUCAACAUAUCCUCGAGUAUCUGAAUAAUCGAUUCUGAUUGGCCAUCUGUUUGCGGAUGAAAAGGGGUGCUAAAAUGCAAUUUAGUACCCAGAGCAUCUUGCAAUUUCUUCUAGAAUCACGAUGUAAAUCUCGGGUCUCUAUCAGACACUGUUGAGAAUGGCACAGCAUACAAUCUCACAAUAUCAUAGAUAUACAACUCAGCUAGCUUAUCAAGCGAAUAAUCAAACUGAAUCGGAAUAAAAUAAGCUGAUUUCAUCAAAUGAUCAACUACAACCCAAAUUGCGUAUUUCUUUUUCAGAGACAAAGGCAAACCUAAAACAAAAUCCAUGGUCACUCGAUCCCAUUUCCAUUCUGGAAUCAUAAUCGGUUGUAAUAACCCAGAUGGCACCUGUUGCUCACCUUUAACUUGCUGAUUGAUUAAACAUCUCGCAAAAAAGUCAAAAAUAUCUCUUUUCAUUCCCGACCACCAAUAUAGUUGUCUCAAAUCGUUAUACAUUUUCGUACUUCCUGGAUGUACAUAAAAUCUACUACUUUGAGCUUCAUUCAAAAUCGUUUGAAUCAAAUCUGGAUUUCUUGGAACACAAAGUCUAUUUUUGAACCUCAGAUAGUCAUCAUCAUCUAUUCGGAAUUCAGAAUCAGACUCAAAAUUACACUGAGUUCGUUUAGCCAUAAUAUCAUUAUCAAUCUUCUAAGCUUCGAUAAUCUGUUGUAAAAAUAAAGGUCUCACUUUUAAUUCAGCUAAAACUGAACCAUCAUCAGACAUAACUAAAUGAGCAUUCAUUACAAAUAACAAUUUUUGACUCAAAGCAUCAGCAACCACAUUUGCUUUUCUUGGGUGAUAAUCAAUCACUAGUUCGUAGUCUUUUAGCAGUUCUAACCAUCUUCUUUGUCGGAAAUUCAAAUCUUUUUGCAUCAUCAAAUAUUUCAGACUUUUAUGAUCAGAAAACACGUGACAUUUUUCACCAAACAGAUAGUGACGCCAGAUCAUCAAAGCAAACAUGAUGGCAACUAACUCAAGGUCGUGUGUCGGAUAGUUCUUCUCAUGCAGUUUCAACUAUCUCGAAGCAUAAGCAACAACUUUUCCUUCUUGCAUUAAAACACAACCUAGUCCAUUCAACGAAGCAUCGCUGUAAUAGAGCUUUAGUUACUUUUAAUCGGAGCUUCAGUUACUUUUAACCGAUCAAAACUUUUUUGACAUUUUUCAGACCAUUCAAAUUUCACAUCUUUUUGAAGCAAUUUUUCCAACGGAGUUGCUAUCACAGAGAAAUCUUUUACAAAUCAUCUGUAGUAACUGGCAAGUCCCAGAAAAGUGCAAACUUCAAAUACAUUCCUCAGAGGCUUCCAAUCCAAAAUAGCUGAAAUCUUACUCGGAUCAACUCGGAUACCGGAAGCUGAUACAAUAUGACCUUGAAAACCAACUUCUCGCAACCAGAAUUCACAUUUACUAAACUUUACAUACAACUAUUUAUCUCGCAGAGUCUGUAGCACUAUUUUCAGAUGUUCAGCAUGCUCAGAUUCAUCACAAGAAUAAAUCAAAAUAUCAUCAAUGAAUACAACAACAAAUUAAUCAAGAUACAGUCCGGAAAUUCUAUUCAUUAAAUCCAUAAAUACAAUAGGUGCAUUCGUUAAACCAAAAGGCAUAACUAAAAAUUCAUAAUGCUCGUACCUCGUUCUGAAAGCAGUUUUCAGAAUGUCAGAGUUCUUUACCCGCAACUGAUAGUAACCCGAUCUCAAAUCUAUCUUUGAAAAUACAGUAGUACCUUUCAACUGAUCGAAUAAGUCAUCAAUUCGAGGCAGAGGAUAUUUGUUCUUCAUAGUCACUUUGUUAAGCUAUCGGUAAUCAUUACACAUUGUCAUUGUGCCAUUUUUCUUUUUCACAAACAGAACAGGAGCACCCCAUGGUGAAAAACAUGGUCUAGCAAACCCUCGAUCGGUCAAUUCUUACAACUGAGAUUUUAAUUCUUUUAACUCGGUUGGAGUCAUUCUAUACAGAGCUAUUGAAAUUAGAGUAGUACUAGGAGCUAAUUCAAUGCCAAACUCGACUUCUCGAAUCGGAGGUAAACCAGAUAGUUCUUUAGGAAACACAUCAGAGAAUUCAUAAACAACAUGCACUAAUUCAACUUUCUUAUCAUUCACUUUCGAAUCUAUCACAUAAGCUAAGUAGGCUUCACAAUCUUUCUUCACAUAUUUCCGUAUUUUCAUUAUAGAUAUCACAACUGGCAAUCCAUUGAGAUCACUAGACUCAAUUCGGAUUAUCUCAUCAUUCUUACACCUUAAAUCAAUGACUUUUUGUUUGCAAUUCACAAUAGCAACAUGCAAAGUUAACCAAUCCAUUUCCAGAAUUAUGUCAAAUUUAUCGAAAGGUAAAAGCAUCAGAUCAGCAAGAAAACAGAUAUCUCGUAUCAUUAACGGGCAAUUCUUGCAGACUUUAUCAACCAAGACACUUUUGCCUAAGGGGUUCGAUACUCUAAUUAAGAAUUCAGUAGACUGUACAGGCAAAGUCUUACUAUGCACUAAAUUCAUACAGAUAUAAGAAUUCGUUGAUCCAAGAUCUAUCAAUACAAUCACAAAAGUAUCAUAGAGAGUAAAAGUACCAAUAAUCACGUCUGGAGACGAGGCUUCCUCACAAGCUCGGAUAGCAUAGGCUUCCUCUAAUCAUCAAAGGACAUUUCUCACAUACUUUAUCAACUAAUACAUGCUUGCCUAAAUGGUUUGACACCUUAAUCAUAAAUUUUGUAGACUCAGCAGGCAUAUUCUUACUAAUUACCAAAUUCAUGCAUACAUAUGAAUGGGUAGAUCCAAGGUCAAUCAAUGCAAUAACAUCAAUAUCAUAAAGAGAAAAAGUACCAGUAAUAACAUCGAGAGAAGAUGCGUCCUCACGAGCACAAAUGGCUAUUUGAGAACUCAACUGAAGCAUGAGAACGAGAAUGCAUCUCUCAAGAUUUCUUAGACUGAGAUUGGAAUGAGUGCUCUAGCGUUAGAUCUCUCUGUGAAUCCUUCGUCAUAUUUUUGCUACUAGCUCCAUUCCUGGUAUUUCUCGGGGGUCUCCCUCUAGAAGCAGUAUUACUCGGCCUUGUACUCUAAAACUUUUCUUUUUCAAUCAUCUCAGGGCAAUCUUUAAUGAAAUGAUCUUGGGAACCACACUUGAAACAAGCUCGGUCAUUCAUUCAACACUUGUCGGGUGACACCUUCCGCAAUGUGCGCAUCCAGAUUUAUUGGGUCGGUUAUCAACGCUUACAAUAGAAGUAGUAUGAGCUUUAUAGCCCGAAUAUUGAUUUCCAUGGUUUCUAUUUGAGAACUCAACUGAAGCAUGAGAACGAGAAUGCAUCUCUCAAGAUUUCUUAGACUGAGAUUGGAAUGAGUUACCCAUCAGCCUCUUUCUUGCAUAUUUAGCCUCAAACUUGGCUUUUCUCUUUUCUUUGGUCAGUUCAUCUGCUUUACAAGCUCGAUCAACGAGCACAACAAAUUCUUUUAGCUCAAGAAUACCCACUAAUAGUCUGAUGUCUUCAUUAAACCUGUCUUCAAACCUUUUACGCAUAAUAGCUUCGGAGGAAACACACUCUCUAGCAUAUUUGCUGGGCCGAACAAAUUCCAUUUCAUAUUCAACGAUUGACAUGAGGCCCUGUUUCAGCUCAAGAAACUCUUUAUGCCUCUAAUCAAUGAAUCGCUCACUAAUAUACUUCUUUUGGAACUCCUCUUGAAAGAAUUCCCAUGUAACUCUCUCUUCCAGAAUCACAGAUACUAGUGUUUUCCACCAAUGAUAUGUCAUGUCCCUCAGUAAAGUUAUAGCACAUUUCAAGCAUUCAUCUCGUGUACAAAAUAAUUCAUCGAACACUUUAAUAAAAUUCUCGAGCCAAAAUUCUACUUUUUCGGGAUCAUCAUCGGUAUUUGCUCUAAAUUAUUCAGCCCUUUCCUUUCAAAACUUAUCAACCGGGGUUCUAUUCAAUCUCAUAAAGUCCUUACCUUAAGGCACUAUGGGGACAGGUUCAAGAUUAGGAGGGGGUGGAGCAGGUUGUUGUUGAGCGGCAAGGUUUGUUUAAACGAACCUUUAGAACCAAUCAUUCAUCAUUUGGAAUAACGCUUUCCGAGCCUCUCUUCCUUGACUCAUAGUUACAGGUCCACUCUCAACUGGCACCGUCCCUUGGGCGGGAACCAGCGCAUUACUGUCUACAUCAUCUACCACAGCUCGAUUGGGAUCCAUUACUAUAUGAAAACACAGUUUAAAAUUGUCAGGAGUUGUCACACUAUCACAAUUUAUAUAAGGCAUGUAUAGCUGGACUCGUACACAAGCUACAUUAGUCUAAGAAUCGAGUAAACCAUAGCUCUGAUACCACUAAAUGUAACAUCCCUUACCUGUAUCAAACGCCGAAACAGGGACGAGGCAUUACCGGACUUAAAUAAGAGCUAACAUACAAACCGAGGCAUAAAUUUCCAUCCAAAUUUAAAACUAUUCAUUUAUAAUCAUAUAGUCCCUAAAACAAGCCUACGAGGCCCAAAACAUGCAUUGGAGGCGGUUCAGGACUAAAUCGAGAACUUUAGAAAAUUCUUCAGUACUUAGAAAGUUUUUCAUCAAAAUAAGGUCACACACCCGUAUGGCUUGGGACACGCCCGAGUGGGUAGGCCGUGUGAUCAAACACGCCCGUGUCCCUAGCCCGUGUAACUCUCUUUCUAUGACAUCAUGCACCAAACGUAGUCACACACCCAAGUCACAGUCCGUGUGCUAAGCCGUGUGGCGAAUUUAAUUUUUGAAAUUUUUCAUAAAUUAGGUGCAGACUUCACACGCCCUGGACACACGCCCAUGUCCCUAGGUCGUGUUCGUCACACAGCUGAGACACAUGGCCGUGUCUCUGCCUGUAUGGCCAACAAUAAGGCUAUUUACCCAGCCAUUUUCCCACCCUUACCUGCACUAACCUACACAACACUAAGCAACACGAAUCAAGCAUAUACAUACAACCAAACCAACCACAAACUAGAUAUCAAUACAUCAUUUACACAUACUAACAUCUAUCAUGAAUAAACAUCACAUAUUAUCAUUUCCAUUCAUUCCCAUUUCAUCUUCAUGAUAAGCAUUAUCACAUAAACAUACUAAUGACCAAUAAAAUUUAUAUUAGCCAACUUUGAAAGGCCAUAUACAAAAUGAAUCAUUAAUCAUUACAAUGCCAACAGAUUUGGCUAAACCAAUAUGACAUGUAACAAAAUGACCAAGUCCCCAUACAUGCAAUACUCAAAAUAUUGAAACCAAGAAUACCCAUAAUAAUCAUUUGAUAGUGUAAAUCGAGCUUCGAUGUUCCUCAAUCUCCGAGCUAGCUUGGUGGCACUAUAAGGAAUGGAAAAAAAAGGGGAAUAAGCUUUUAAGCUUAGUAACUUUGCAUGCAAAUAAUAUGCAAUAUAAAUCAUACAUUAAUCAUAUAACUACUUAACAUAAGUUAACAUAAUUAUCAUCAUGUAUCUUAGGCUUAACUUACUCAUUAGCAUUCUUACCAAGAGUUCAUCUCAAACUAAAGUCCAUACUCAUGAGUUUUACAUACAUACAUGUAUCAACUCAUAGUAUAGUUGCAUACUUUGUCAUCUUUGACAUAAUCUUCAGAUUACCCAUUGAACACUUGGAAUAUUAUCGGACACAUGGAAAGCCUUGCACAUAAGUGGCUAAUAAACCGUAAUUUAUACAUAUUUUUAUCCCAUGCUUAGCACAUUUAUGGAUGGUUUCUCCUUAGAUUUGGUGAAUUAGAUGCUCCUAAUUCUUUAAUUUCAUGUUUUAUACUUAGGUGAGCAUAGGAGAGUAAAAAGAGCGAGAAACGGGCUAAAAACAGAGAAAAUGGACCCACAUGGGAAAUCAACACGGCCUGGACUUCCUGACACGGGUAAGCCAUACAGCCAUGUCCAUUUGGCAGGAUCAAAGCAUGACUUACACUGGUAGACUAUACACCCAUGCCUAUUUAACAGCCUUGACCACAGGCUGGAGCAAUCGCACACAGGCGUAUCACAUGGGCGUGUCACUGUCAAGCCCAAGUAUAGUCCUAUUCAGAAAAGGCCACUUUUGAGGGCUCUUAGGCAUUCAAAAGCCUAUUUAAACACCUGAAGAGGCACUUAGAACAGACACACAGAGUAGGAGGCAAGGAAUUACUCAAGGGAAGCUGAUUGAUCGAUCUCAGAAGCUGGAUUCAUUGUCAAGACUGAAGAUCUCCCUUCAAUUUCCAUUCAAGGGUUUUGGGUUUUCUUUAUGUUUUUUAUCUUUAUUCUUUUGAGAUGUUUUCUUUCAUAAUUAUGAGCUAAAACCCCUAAAUAUCUAAGGGGAAUAAAACCUAAGAUAGAUCUUUUUAUUAUUAUCUGAAUUGCAUGAUAAAUAUUUGACUUGUUCUUAAUUAUGUGUUCUUAAUUCUUGUCCUAAUAUUCCAGGAUAUUGAUUCAAGUUAAUGCUGUUAUUCAAAGGAGAAAAAGUCCCUGUCUAAGAGUAAAUUUUUCGUAAUUAAGCGUUGAUUGCACGCCUAGAGAUAGGGUGACAAGAUUUUGCCAGAUUAGGGUGAAACCUAAUAAGGGAGUCCAUAGAUCGAGUUAAUGCAACACUAGGUGUUGAUUAGAAAGAGAUUUCAAUUAAUCAACCUAGGGUUAGACGUUAUUAGUCUCGAGAGAGAUAAUAAUAUAACUUAGGGAUUUCUACGGAUCAAAUCAAAUGAAUACAUCGUCUAAUUCAGAGUCAAAUAACAAGUGAAGUUUAGGUGGAUUUUUCCUUGGGUAUUAUCUUAAUCAAUCGAGUUUUCUCAAAAGCUUUUCCCCAAUUUUCUCUCUGUGCAUCGUUAGUUUAGUUAAUUAGUUUAGAUAAACAAACCCAUAAUUUUUUAGGCUAGAUAAUAAAAAGGAAGUAAUUACUAGUACUCUUGGUUCCUUUGGGUUUGACAAUCCGGUCUUGCUAAAGCUAUACUACUGUUCGAUAGGUACACUUGCCUUUAUGGUGGUUAUAGUUUGUUUCAAGAACGAUUAAUUAUAAAUUUUUAAAUCCUGUCGUGAAUAUCACGUAUCAAGUUUUUGGCACCUUUUCCGAGGAACUAAGACAUUAGGAACACUCGAUUUUUAUUACUUUAGCCAUUUUACUUUAUUUGCAAUUUAAAUUUUGAUUUUCUUUUCUAAUUUUUCUUUUAUUCGUUCAUGGCAGGUUUUUCUAGUGUAUGACUAGAAGAAACUUGUCGGGACCAUUACUUUUUGAUAGUGAGAUCGAUCGCACAGUUCGAAGAAAUCGAAGAGAAAUAAGGCAAAGCUUACGAUCCACAGAGGAGGAGCAAGAGGACGAUAGUUCAACUACAACCGAGGAGGUGACAAAAAACCAAGAAAAUUCGCUACCUCCUGCGAUUUCCGUUGAUCCAGUAAAUCAGAAUCCUGCUCUGUGUACUAUGUAUGAUUAUGCUAAACCUUCUUUAACAGGAAUUGAAUCGAGCAUAGUUAGGCCUACUAUUGCUGCGAAUAAUUUUGAACUAAAACCUAACACCAUUCAAAUGAUCCAACAGUUUGUUUAGUUUGAUGGUUUGCAGGACGAGGACCCAAACACUCAUUUGGCGAAUUUCUUAUAAUUUUACGAUACUUUUAAAAUCAAUGGCAUUUCUGGUGAUGCCAUUUGCCUUCAGUUAUUCCAUUUUCAUUGAGGAACAAAGCUGAACAGUGGUUGAACUCGUUACCAUGAGGGUUAAUCACUACUUGGGAACAAAUGAUCGAAAAGUCUUUAUUAAAAUAUUUUUCGCUGGCUAAAACGGCUAAAUUAUGUAAUGACGUCUCUUCUUUUGUGCAGAUGGAUUUAGAAACACUCUACGAUGCAUGGGAGAGAUACAAGGACCUUUUACGAAGAUGCCCUCACCAUGGGUUACCAUUGUGGCUACAGGUUCAAACUUUUCAUAAUGGCCUGAAUCCUUCCACUAGACAGAUGAUUGACAUAGCUGCUGGUGGAACUAUCAAUAAUAAGACACCUGAGGAUGCUUAUGAAUUUAUAGAAGAGAUGUCACUGAAUAAUUAUCAGUGGCAAGUCAUGAGGACAAAGCCAACGAAAACAGCUGGCGUUUUUAACGUCGAUUCGGUCACCAUGCUCUCUUAUCAUGUAGAAGUUUUGAAUAGAAAAAUUGAUGGUUUUCUUAGUUCUUCUAGGUUCACCUAGUAAUGUAGUGCGCAGCAAGUGUAGGUAGAUCAAGCAAUUUAGAAUACCCACCCAAUGGCCACAACAUGGAGAACGAGCAGUUAAAUUAUAUGGGUAAUAAUCGUCGAUCUCAAAAUAAUCCUUAUAGUAAUACUUACAAUGCAGGUUGGAGGAACCACCCAAAUUUCUCAUGAGGAGGCCAAGGUAAUCAGAGACCACCACCUCCAGGCUUCCAACAACCACCCUACCAACAAGACAAAAAGCUAAACCUUGAGAAGAUGCUAAUAAAAUUUAUCUCAGUGUCAGAAACUCGUUUUUAAAAUACCGAGAUAGUAUUUAAGAAUCGGCAAACAUUGAUCCAAUGGCUCGAAACUCAGAUAGGACAGCUCGCCAAAUUAAUAUCUGAACGACCACAAGGUAGCCUGGCGAGUAACACUGAAUCUUAUCCAAUGGAACAACUCAACGCAAGUACCAUCCAAGACAAGGAAGAGUUAGCGUAACCUGAACCAGAAUCGAGGCAAGGAAUUGUGGUAAGUAAAAGAAGAGGUGAGGAAGGCCACAGUGAACAAACACCGAUAACUAAAGAGUACAAACCUCGUGUGCCAUAUCCCAAUUCGACAAGCAAAGACCGCAUAGACGAACAAUUCGGUAAAUUCCUUAAAUUAUUAAAGAAAUUGCAUAUUAACUUACCAUUUAUUGAAGGUAUUUCACAGAUGCCAAACGCAGUAAAUUCUUAAACGAGCUUUUAACAAAUAACUGGAAGUUGGAUGAAGUGUCACAUGUGGAGCUACAUGCGGUUUGCUCAGCCAUACUAGAGAAUAAGCUGGCCAACAAAUUAAAAGAUCUAGGGAGUUUUACGAUUUCUUGUUUAAUUGGUAGCUUAGAUGUUAAUAAUGCUUUGGCUGAUUUAGGGGCUAGUAUCAAUGUCUUGCCUUACAAAAUGUUUAAGCAACUAGGUCUUGAGAAACCCAAACAAACUAGGAUGAGUAUUCAAUUAGCUGAUAAAACAAUCAGAUUUCCUAGGGGUAUUAUUGAAGAUGUUGUAACACCACCAACCCGGCCUAGACGUUACAGCCGAAUCUGGUGUGUCACAUUACCUACAACUAACCAAGUUACCUAGUUUACUAAAGCUUAUGAGAGCUUUACAAAAACCAUUAAUGAAGUUUUAAGAGAAAUGUUUCGAUUCAAUAGUGUGAGUCCUAUCCAUUAUCGAUUGUUAAGGGUUUAGAAAAAACGUGACUUUUGUUGCACCUUGAAAAGUUUCAUUUUGAAGACGUUUGAUUGUCGUGUCUGUUUGAAACAAGUAAUUUUUGAUAAAACCAUAGUUAACCAAUUUCAAGGAAUCAAUUUAAGUGAUGUGAAUCUCAAGUCGAAAACGAUUUAAGUAAUUUAAAAACCCAAAAUAAAAAUAAUAGAGCGGCCUUAUUACAACUUUAACCAAAAUAGAAAUAAUCAAAAAUAAAUGCGAAAUUUAAAAGGAAGCUACUUGAAACUUAUUUAAAACCAGAAAUUUAAUCUUCGUGGCCACUCUGAAUCCCGCCCAGCUCCAAGUCCACCAACUAGGGCUCACCUGCAAGGAUGGAAGAGAAAGGGGGUGAGUUUCGAAAACUAAGUGUAUAUGGAAAACCCAUCCAAAGCCCAAGUCAGCUCAAGCCCAUUGGCCUAAGCCCUAUUCAGAUAACCGCGGGUACUGGGCCGAAGCCCUUUUCAGAAUACGAUAAACUGGGCCUUAGCCCCUUUUCAGAUAACAGUAUCACCCAUAGGCCCAUUCUAGAACAGAACAGACAUAUUCGGGUAUGCAAACCCAACCCAGCCUAUAACCAACCACUACACUCCACUCGUACCAGCCCUCCACUCCAUGUGGGGAAUAGCUCAACCCAUCCAGCCCUACACUCCAUAGUUGCAGCAUAGCUGCUCAGAUAUCACUAAGUUGAGGCAAAGCCUCCAGUACGUGGUCAAGCCACUUUCAGUACUUCCUCCAUCAAUAACGCAAUCCCAUGCAUCAAAUAAUAAUAACAUGGCAUGCAGUAAAUAGUAACAGUCAAACAUGCAUUCAGGUCAACCUUAACCCUCGGGGUAUAUCAGUAAUUUUGCUCCUAGGGGUAAAACUAUAAACUUUCCACCUAUAAAGGUAUUUCAGUACUUUUAUCAGUUUUAAGGGUUCUCAUUAAUGUUACAGUCCUUACUAGCCCAUUUUUCAUCACAGUAAUUUAUUUAUCUCAAUUUCACAAUUUUAGCCAUUGGGCCCUAAAACCCUUAAUGGGCCCUACAGUGUCCAUUAGCAAUUUAAGCCCAUUUAACUCAAGUUUUAUGACCAAUUUACCGGUUUACGUAGUUUCGAUUCUACAGUCUAAUAGAACAUACUUAUUGCCUUUUUUAUAUUAUAAAUUAUUAUUUUUUUAUUAACCCGUAUGGGCCCGUAAACCCAUUGGGCCCAGUUUUAGCCUAUCGAGGCCUAAUUACCGAAGUGCACGAAAUUUCACACACGACUAACUUACCACUUUGCGAUUUCAGAUCUAAUGAUUUCUAAACGUCUUGUGAGCACUCGCACACUCACAAGCGCACGAAAUGACGAAAUUUUGGCAUUUUGGCUUUUGCUGAAUUGAACUAGGAGAGGGUGUUCGAUACACACCUGUGUCGCAACGACUGCUACUGAGAUCCCUUGCGAUGUCCUACAAUUGAUUACCACAAUUCUUAGAUUGCAACCCACAACAACAAAUCCCAAUAUUCAGCAACCCAUAUUUGAACCAUGCCCCUAAAGCCUUUAGAAUCUUACCUUUUUACCGAAAACCGAUAACUAGAUCUGAGUCUAGUUGUUCCAAAGAUCCAAGCCUUCGAUCAAACCUAUUGAAGACACUAAUCACCAAAAGAAAUCAUCGGUUAAAGACCCUUAAAGCCCUAUGCCCAAAUCGAUAGCCUCCCUAGAUUUUAGGGACUUCGGCUUUUCUAAAUUGUAAAAUAAGACUAGAUCUGAGGUGAUGAGCACUUACCACUUAUUCCUCUUUGAUUUCUAUAUAGAUCUGAUGUAGAUCUAUUAAUUGAGAAUAGAAGCUCGUUCCUUUUUGUUUCCCUAUAAUUGGGGCCGUAGAGCUCUAUCCAUUUAUUCACUCGACCCAACUUUGAAUUCAAUUCAUUGUUUUUGUUCCGCACCAAAAAUUCAAAAAUGGUUUAAGACAGAAAAUUGUUUGGCAUUCUGGAAUGAAUGAAUGGAAAAACUGGUUAAGGAGUCAUUAUCAAUACGAUUUAGUUCAGAAUAGAUGGCUAAAAUUAGUACCAGGACAAUGGCGAAAUAGAGUCAAUAAUAUUAAAUUGAAAAAUAGGAACUUCGAAUCUUUUUCUGAUAUACAUAAAGUAAAUAGAAAAAGAUUCGAAGUGGAUUUCUCGACCCGUGAAAUGAAAAAAUAGCCUCUGGAGUUUUUUUGUUUUAUAUUCAUCUGAAGGAAAUAUGAGAAAGAAAACAAUAACAAUAAAUAAAAGAAAUAAAAUGAAGGAAAUAUAUCAGACUAUAGUAAUUUAAUACACAUAGAAAUUAGAAAAAUACAUAAAAAUAUUGAUUUUUAUCAAUUUCACGAACAAGAUCCAAGAAUAAGAUUAGUUGAUGGAGGGGGAGGGGUAGAUCUGGGGAUCAACCAGUAGCGAGAGAAGGGAUCGCUUCUUCCUUGAAUUGAAGAGUUCGUUCAAAAAAUUCAUCUAUCUGAUUGAUGAGCCAUAAGACAAUUCAUGGUUCAGACGACUAGUAAAAAUAGAAAAGAAUAAACGAAUUGAGUUCAUGGAUUUACCUAAGUCAGGUUAUGGACCAAUACAAGAAAAUAUUUUUUUAUAUUCGAAACCAAUUAAUUAUAAGGGGCAGUGCAUGAGAAAUCAAAUCAUACAUAAAAAAUCGAAUCCCCCAGCGCCCCCAUAACAUAAGGUGCUCGGAAAUGGUUGAAGUAGUU